rnacentral:rRNA from 1 species
UGGGGAAUAUUGCACAAUGGGCGAAAGCCUGAUGCAGCGACGCCGCGUGAGGGAUGACGGCCUUCGGGUUGUAAACCUCUUUCAGCAGGGAAGAAGCGAAAGUGACGGUACCUGCAGAAGAAGCGCCGGCUAACUACGUGCCAGCAGCCGCGGUAAUACGUAGGGCGCAAGCGUUGUCCGGAAUUAUUGGGCGUAAAGAGCUCGUAGGCGGUUAGUCGCGUCUGCUGUGAAAACUCGAGGCUCAACCUCGGGCUUGCAGUGGGUACGGGCUGACUAGAGUGCGGUAGGGGUGACUGGAAUUCCUGGUGUAGCGGUGGAAUGCGCAGAUAUCAGGAGGAACACCGAUGGCGAAGGCAGGUCACUGGGCCGCAACUGACGCUGAGGAGCGAAAGCACGGGGAGCGAACAGGAUUAGAUACCCUGGUAGUCCAUGCCGUAAACGUUGGGCACUAGGUGUGGGGUCCAUUCCACGGAUUCCGUGCCGCAGCAAACGCAUUAAGUGCCCCGCCUGGGGAGUACGGCCGCAAGGCUAAAACUUAAAUGAAUUGACGGGGUCAUAGCUGUUUCCU